rnacentral:lncRNA from 1 species
GGCUCUGCAGGCUGCUGGGCGCUGGGGUUAUUUAAAAGAGCGAGAGGAGAGCAAGGGCAAAGUGAUGCAAUCCUUUAAGCAUGGCUGGGAAUGCUGUGUACAUGAUGCAAUCUCGUGUAACUGUCAGUCAUGGAUUGAGUAAUCUGUUAAAGAUGUUCUUACAGUUUUUUUUAUUAUAAAGAAUAAUCUAUUUCUAUAAGAAAAUACAUAUGUAUAUUUUGGGAUCUAUGCAUUCUUGCUACAUUUGAAGCAUUAAUGAACAAUUUUAAUAAACUUUAUGACUAGGUUAAAAAAAAAAAAAGUAGCUUGUUUUAUUUUGAAGGCAUGUUUAAAGUUAGAUUAAACACAGGGUUGAAAUUCCAGCUGAUUCUGGCUCAUUGCUGUGAUCAGGGAUAGGGAUUUUUGUUGGUCUUUUAGCUUUCUCUGACUCAGAGAAAGGAAAAAAAAUCAACAACCAAAACCAAAACCCUCAAGAGAAACCCAGCAAGGAGCAGAGCUGGAAGCUUUAGCCAGUUCUUGUUGCCUCAUUUUAUUUCCUCUAAUCACUUGGUUUAGCUGCCGCUUGGGUGUUGUUUGGGGAGGAGGUGUUUGUGUUGGGGUUUUUUUUGCACUUCAUGCUGUUCUGAACGUGUAGAGCAAGAUGUGCUAUCCAAACCAUGACCAAUCCUUGGCAAAUAACACCAAGUCUGAAGUGGGAGGGGGGAAGAAAAAGUAAGGGAGGAAGCUUUAAAUGAGUUUUUGUUUGUGUUUGGGGUUUUUUUUCUUUACAGAGUUUCUAUUCUCUAUGAUUCAGCAUUUCUUAUGUUUGUAGUUUACAGGAAUAAACAUGAGAAAGUAGCAUUUCUGUUGGAUGUCGGUAAUUUCGGUCAUUGCUCAGGAAGCUCCCAUGAGACCCAGCCAGGAAGAAAACCACAACCACCACAACACCCGAGAAGUGGGAUACAGCUGUGUUCUAACAGCUACUGCUGGGUCCCAGUUCAACAAAGUACUCCAGUGUAUGUGCUACCUAGGCAGAAGCAACACAAUGCUGAACACAAGCUUUAAAGUUUCAGAUGUGCCAAGUGCUCUGCUGAAACACAUCCUUCUAGAGCCUGCAGCUGCCUGGCCCCGGG